rnacentral:rRNA from 1 species
GCAAGUCGAGCGCUCACUUCGGUGGGAGCGGCGAACGGGUUAGUAACGCGUGGGAAUAUACCCUUCUCUACGGAAUAGCCUCGGGAAACUGAGAGUAAUACCGUAUACGCCCUUCGGGGGAAAGAUUUAUCGGGAAAGGAUUGGCCCGCGUUAGAUUAGAUAGUUGGUGGGGUAAUGGCCUACCAAGUCUACGAUCUAUAGCUGGUUUUAGAGGAUGAUC